rnacentral:rRNA from 1 species
UGUGACUCGUCACACUAUCAUUAACUGAAUCCAUAGGUUAAUGAGGCGAACCGGGGGAACUGAAACAUCUAAGUACCCCGAGGAAAAGAAAUCAACCGAGAUUCCCCCAGUAGCGGCGAGCGAACGGGGAGGAGCCCAGAGCCUGAAUCAGCAUGUGUGUUAGUGGAAGCGUCUGGAAAGGCGCGCGAUACAGGGUGACAGCCCCGUACACAAAAGCGCAUGUGCUGUGAGCUCGAUGAGUAGGGCGGGACACGUGGUAUCCUGUCUGAAUAUGGGGGGACCAUCCUCCAAGGCUAAAUACUCCUGACUGACCGAUAGUGAACCAGUACCGUGAGGGAAAGGCGAAAAGAACCCCGGCGAGGGGAGUGAAAAAGAACCUGAAACCGUGUACGUACAAGCAGUGGGAGCCCCACCACCAAAGCAUUUGCUGUACCGCGUUGACGGAGCGAAGCGACGUCAAACCGAUAAAACAGCAGUGUAAAGUGAGCCGCAGGGCGCUUUGCGCGACAGCGCAAAGGCAGGCGGUUUCGCGUAGCGAAAGCGAAUGCUUUGGGGUGG